UACGAAGGGGGCUAGCGUUGCUCGGAAUCACUGGGCGUAAAGGGUGCGUAGGCGGGUCAUUAAGUCAGGGGUGAAAUCCUGGAGCUCAACUCCAGAACUGCCUUUGAUACUGGCGAUCUUGAGUCCGGGAGAGGUGAGUGGAACUGCGAGUGUAGAGGUGAAAUUCGUAGAUAUUCGCAAGAACACCAGUGGCGAAGGCGGCUCACUGGCCCGGUACUGACGCUGAGGUGCGAAAGCGUGGGGAGCAAACAGG
rnacentral:rRNA from 1 species